CCAAGUCAUGGGUAUAUAACGCCUGGGAUGUCAUCGAGCUGUACUACAUCCUUCUAAGACAUCGGAAGUUUAGCUGGUCUCUCGACAAGAAAAGAAACAAAAUGGCAAACGGACGUGCUAUCCUCCUGGUGGUGGCCCUGAUGGCGGUGGUGCUCCUGCAGGCAUCCAUGACCUUUGCCUGGGGAGGGGACAGCUACAGGUCCUCUGAGUUCGACGGUCACGACUCAGACCACUCUCCUUACAGCCACGACGGCGGCUUCAGCAGGGAGACCUAUGACCACGACUUCGACAAAGAUUGGUGAUUCGUUCGUUCGAUUCGAAGACUUUGCAUGGCACAAGGACACAAUGAUCUGUCAAUCUGGAUAUAGUUAGUAAAGUUGCAUCUUGUUA